GCUCGGGCGCUUUUCCUCCAGGCAGCCAAGCCGCUGCGGUGCGCUUUGGCUACCUGGGAGGGAAAGGGGAAGGAAAUUCUCUCUACCCCCCGGCUUUCUCUUCCCUUCCCCCCAUUUGGGAAACGAGUAGAGGUAUUGAAAUUUAAAGGAGAUUUUCAAAGGCCGCUGCCGAAGGAUGCUAAUAGGAGUUGGAAGACAGACGCAUUAGGAAGAGGGAAUUUCCCACGGAAAGCUUUGUAAUGAGCUAACGAGAUGCGUUCCCCCACCUCACCUUUGGAGGGGAGGGGAAAACAGAGCUUGAAUUACGCAUUUAAUUUCCCCUGCGCUCGUUCCCAAAUGGGAAAAGCUGAUGGGUCUCGAUAGGAUCGGGAUUUCUGGUUUCAAGGUUUAACGUUGUGCGCGCUCCCCUGCUUGCAGACCCCGCAGCUACUCCCACCGCACGUCCUCUCGCCGGUCUUCGCGUCUGCGUCUCCCUCCCGCUGUUGGCGCGUUGCUUCGGUUUAUCCAGGUCUCCAACUCGCCCAAUACCUGGAUCAACACAA
rnacentral:antisense_RNA from 1 species